rnacentral:rRNA from 1 species
AAAUUGAAGAGUUUGAUCAUGGCUCAGAUUGAACGCUGGCGGCAGGCCUAACACAUGCAAGUCGAACGGUAACAGGAAACAGCUUGCUGUUUCGCUGACGAGUGGCGGACGGGUGAGUAAUGUCUGGGAAACUGCCUGAUGGAGGGGGAUAACUACUGGAAACGGUAGCUAAUACCGCAUAACGUCGCAAGACCAAAGAGGGGGACCUUCGGGCCUCUUGCCAUCGGAUGUGCCCAGAUGGGAUUAGCUUGUUGGUGGGGUAACGGCUCACCAAGGCGACGAUCCCUAGCUGGUCUGAGAGGAUGACCAGCCACACUGGAACUGAGACACGGUCCAGACUCCUACGGGAGGCAGCAGUGGGGAAUAUUGCACAAUGGGCGCAAG